CGAGAGAAAGAUCCUGGGCAUGAUCCAACGGCUGAGAUUCAAUCCGACCUAGAUCCGACAGUUCAGACUCGUUGCCGAUUUUGAAUAGGAUUCUUUUGCACGAUCCAAUAGUCUAGAAGCAAUCCAUCACAUGAUCCAACGGCUGUUAUCGCUCCCGACUUUGAAUAGGAUUCUUUUGCACGAUCCGACGGUCAGAACUUCAUCAAAACCC
rnacentral:lncRNA from 1 species